UCAUAUCCAAGUAUCGGGAAAUUCAAGAAGAAAUCUUUUCCUCUCUUUGACUCGCUAGGAGAACUCUAUGAUGCUGAGGGUACCUACAGUUUCACAUCAAUUGCACAACCAUCACAAAUUGACGAAGACUUUGAAGAUGAAAUAGAGGUUGAGGAAGUAAAAGAAAGUGAUGACUUGGAGAUGAUGAAUCAAGUGCAACAUGAUGAAGAUGACUUGCAAAUUCUGGAUCAAAUGGAUGUUGCACAUAGGAAGGAGGAUGUCAAUCCAA